rnacentral:rRNA from 1 species
AGUGAACGCUGGCGGUAGGCCUAACACAUGCAAGUCGAACGGCAGCACAGUAAGAGCUUGCUCUUACGGGUGGCGAGUGGCGGACGGGUGAGGAAUACAUCGGAAUCUACUUUUUCGUGGGGGAUAACGUAGGGAAACUUACGCUAAUACCGCAUACGACCUACGGGUGAAAGCAGGGGAUCUUCGGACCUUGCGCGAUUGAAUGAGCCGAUGUCGGAUUAGCUAGUUGGCGGGGUAAAGGCCCACCAAGGCGACGAUCCGUAGCUGGUCUGAGAGGAUGAUCAGCCACACUGGAACUGAGCCACGGUCCAGACUCCUACGGAAGGCAGCAGUGGGGAAUAUUGGACAAUGGGCGCAAGCCUGAUCCAGCCAUACCGCGUGGGUGAAGAAGGCCUUCGGGUUGUAAAGCCCUUUUGUUGGGAAAGAAAAGCAGCAGGUUAAUACCCCGCUGUUCUGACGGUACCCAAAGAAUAAGCACCGGCUAACUUCGUG